UAAUACAUGCAAGUCGAGCGGACUUGCUGGAGCUUGUUCCAGCRAGUUAGCGGCGGACGGGUGAGUAACACGUGGGCAACCUGCCUGUAAGACUGGGAUAACUCCGGGAAACCGGAGCUAAUACCGGAUAGUAUCUUGAACCGCAUGGUUCAAGUUGGAAAGACGGUUUCGGCUGUCACUUACAGAUGGGCCCGCGGCGCAUUAGCUAGUUGGUGAGGUAAUGGCUCACCAAGGCAACGAUGCGUAGCCGACCUGAGAGGGUGAUCGGCCACACUGGGACUGAGACACGGCCCAGACUCCUACGGGAGGCAGCAGUAGGGAAUCUUCCGCAAUGGACGAAAGUCUGACGGAGCAACGCCGCGUGAGUGAUGAAGGUUUUCGGAUCGUAAAACUCUGUUGUUAGGGAAGAACAAGUGCGAGAGUAACUGCUCGCACCUUGACGGUACCUAACCAGAAAGCCACGGCUAACUACGUGCCAGCAGCCGCGGUAAUAC
rnacentral:rRNA from 1 species